rnacentral:lncRNA from 1 species
UAUAGACACACACACUAACAUACACAGAAACAUUUAUCUAUGUACAUUUAUAGAGCCUAUGGAUGAGUUGUCCUUGGACAAUCUAGCUGAGACAGUAACUCCAUGGUCCUCAUGAUCCACCUAACCCAUGCCCGUUAUGCAAGAGGAGAUGUAAAAAUAGUAAUGAAGAUGACAGCUACAGCACAUAUUUGUGCAAAGUAUGGUUGUGCAAGGGUUUAUGCAUAUCUGCAUGUGUGCAUGUGCAUGUAUUAUAUAUAUGCAUGCAAAUAUCAUAUAUGUAUGUAUAUAUAUGCAUAUAAACGUGUAU